AGACUGCAGACGGUUCAUUAUAACAGUUAUAGUUUAAUUGGAGUUUUAAUCAUAUGUGGAUAACCGUGGUAAUUCUAGAGCUAAUACAUGCCAAGAUUUCUAUAUGUAAAUUAUAGCUAUCAUUUAUUUGAUACCAAAUCAAUGUGUUUCAGCACUUGUUGGUGAAUCUAAAUAACUUUCAUAGACCGCUAAAAUAGUGGUACACCAUUCAAGUUUCUGACCUAUCAGUUAGUUAGUAGUGUCUUGGACUACUGAGGCAUUGACGGGUAACGGAGAAUUAGGGUUCGGUUCCGGAGAGGGAGCCUGAGAAACGGCUACUACAUCUAAGGAAGGCAGCAGGCGCGUAAAUUACCCAAUUCUGAAAGAGAGAGGUAGUGACAAGAAAUCACAAUAUUUGGCCUUAGGGUUAAAUAAUUGUAUUGAGAACAUGCUAUUCAUAUUAACGAUAAACUAUUGGAGGGCAAGUCUGGUGCCAGCAGCCGCGGUAAUUCCAGCUCCAAUAGUGUAUGCUAACGUUGUUGCAGUUAAAAAGCUCGUAGUUGGAUUUUUAAGGGUGUCUGUUCUGUGUGGUCUUAAUGUACUGCAACAGAAGAUGAUUCCUCUUAUUUUGUGUUUGUGCACUGUUGGAAUUCGUUUUCCGACAUUGUAAUAAGCAUGUGUUUACUUUGAGAAAAUUAGAGUGUUCCAAGCAGUCUUAUGGCUUUAUACUAUAGCAUGGAAUAAUAACUGACGACUUCGGUUAAUUUUUUUGUUGGUUUGGGUAACUGAGGUAAUGAUUUAUAGAGUUAGUCGGAGAUAUCAGUAUUUUGUCGUUAGAGGUGAAAUUCAGGGAUCGACAAAAGGCUAACAACUGCGAAAGCAUUUGUCUAGGAUUUGCUCUUUGAUCAAGAACGUAAGUUGGGGGAUCGAAGACGAUCAGAUACCGUCGUAGUCUCAACUAUAAACUAUAUCAGCUAGGGAUUGGCAAAUGUUUUUUUGACUUUGUUAGAACCUUAUGAGAAAUCAAAGCUUUUGGGUUCCGGGGGGAGUAUGGUCGCAAGGCUGAAACUUAAAGGAAUUGACGGAAGGGCACCACAAGUUGUGGAUCCUGUGGCUUAAUUUGACUCAACACUGGAAAACUUACCAGGUCCAGACAUAGGAAGGAUUGACAGAUUGAUAGCUCUUUCUUGAUUCUAUGGGUGGUGGUGCAUGGCCGUUCUUAGUUGGUGGAGUGAUUUGUCUGGUUAAUUCCGUUAACGAACGAGACUAUUACCUGCUAAAUAGUAGUUUCCGGUCUAACAGGGGGCUUGCUUCUUAGAGGGACUAGCUUUACUUAAAUUGCUGGAAGUUAGUAGCAAUAACAGGUCUGUGAUGCCCUUAGAUGUUCUGGGCCGCGCACGGGCUACAAUAGGGGAGUAAAUAAGCUUGUACCACUUAGUUCGAAAAGGCCUGAGUAAUCUUGAGACUGUUCUUUGAUUGGGAUCGCACUUUGAAAUUAUUACGCGUAAACCAGGAAUACCUAGUAAGCGCAUGUCAUUAACGUGCAGUGAAUACGUCCCUGCCCUUUGUACACACCGCCCGUCGCUCCUACCGAUUGGAUGAGUUGGUGAGUUGAUCGGAGUAAAAGGUAUCUUGCUGCAGAGCUUGUCCCUAAUUUUGAAACUUUGCAAACUAGAUUAUCUAGAGGAAGGAGAAGUCG
rnacentral:rRNA from 1 species